GAUCUUGAUGGGCUAGUUGACAAGAAAGGUGGUCCAGAAGAUAUGUACGAACUCGCUCGAGAAGCUGACAUAGUUAUAACUUGCAUGACGUUAAACAAUGAAUCAGUUGGGAUUGUGGAUCACAAGUUCCUGUCAGCUUUGAAAAAGGGAUCAUAUCUCAUCAAUAUUGCCAGAGGGCGCCUACUGGACUAUACGGCUGUGUUUAAUCACCUUGAGUCAGGUCAUUAAGGUGGUUUAGGCAUUGAUGUUGCUUGGACGGAGCCAUUCGAUCCAGAGGAUCCAAUUCUGAAAUUCCCAAAUGUUAUUAUAACACCACAUGUUGCAGGAAUCACGGAAUACUCUUACAGAACGAUGGCA